rnacentral:rRNA from 1 species
UACGGAGGAUGCAAGCGUUAUCCGGAUUCAUUGGGUUUAAAGGGUGCGUAGGCGGGCUAUUAAGUCAGUGGUGAAAUCCUGCAGCUUAACUGCAGAACUGCCGUUGAUACUGAUAGUCUUGAGUUUGGUUAAGGUAGGCGGAAUGUGUAAUGUAGCGGUGAAAUGCUUAGAUAUCACACAGAACACCGAUUGCGAAGGCAGCACACUAAGUCAUUAUUGACGCUGAGGCACGAAAGUGUGGGGAUCAAACA